UAUACCUGCGCACACAUGUUCCCCCACAAACACACACACAUGCAAAGAGGAAUGAUAUGAGCAGUGUUGCUAUGAAGAAGGUGAACAUAAAUGAAGGACAGCGUAGCAGAAAGAAGUGGAGCGGAGGAGGGGGUGUCACACACACUGAGACAAGGCAGACAGGAAGUGAGGUAAAGAGAGGGGGAAGACAUGCACCCUAGGUCACCAAGGUGGGAACUUGAACCUGGAACAGCUGGGUUGAGGACUGAGGUCUCUGUAUAUGGGUCGCGCGCUCUACCGCCAAGCCACCCACAGCCAGGAAACAUCUUUGACAUAUUCUUGACAGAUUUUUAAUAUAAAGAGGCUAUAGCCAGAGAAUCCAAAUGUCUUGGGGCACACAGGGAGGCGUGAAGACACCAGCAUCAGGCCAGCUGAAGCUGUGACAUUUAGCCUUCUUCACAAGCUGGGCUGAGCGACACAUCCCAAACGUCCAGCCAGCCCUGCCAGCUGUAGCCCACAGGGCGCUUGCCUUCAAAGCAACAGCCAGAAUACUGAUUACUUGUGUAAUAGAUUAUUUUAAAAACAAUUUAUAACUGUAACAAUAAAAUUCUGA